rnacentral:rRNA from 1 species
CUGGCUCAGGAUGAACGCUAGCGACAGGCCUAACACAUGCAAGUCGAGGGGCAUCGGGGCGAGGAGCAAUCCUUGCCGCCGGCGACCGGCGCACGGGUGAGUAACGCGUAUGCGACCUGCCCGUUGCAGGGGGAUAAUCGGGAGAAAUCCCGUCUAAUACCGCGUAAUGCCGCGGGGCUGCAUGGCCCUGCGGCCAAAGGGAGCGAUUCCGGCAACGGAUGGGCAUGCGUGACAUUAGCUAGUUGGCGGGGCAACGGCCCACCAAGGCGACGAUGUCUAGGGGUUCUGAGAGGAAGGUCCCCCACACUGGUACUGAGACACGGACCAGACUCCUACGGGAGGCAGCAGUGAGGAAUAUUGGUCAAUGGGCGCGAGCCUGAACCAGCCAAGUCGCGUGAGGGAUGACGGCCCUACGGGUUGUAAACCUCUUUUGUCGGGGAGCAAAUUCCGCCACGUGUGGCGGAGUCGAGAGUACCCGAAGAAAAAGCAUCGGCUAACUCCGUGCCAGCAGCCGCGGUAAUACGGAGGAUGCGAGCGUUAUCCGGAUUUAUUGGGUUUAAAGGGUGCGUAGGCGGACUGUCAAGUCAGCGGUAAAAUACGGGGGCUCAACCUCCGCCCGCCGUUGAAACUGACGGUCUUGAGUGGGCGAGAAGUAUGCGGAAUGCGUGGUGUAGCGGUGAAAUGCAUAGAUAUCACGCAGAACUCCGAUUGCGAAGGCAGCAUACCGGCGCCCGACUGACGCUGAAGCACGAAAGCGUGGGUAUCGAACAGGAUUAGAUACCCUGGUAGUCCACGCAGUAAACGAUGAAUACUAGCUGUCCGGGGCGAAUGAGCCCUGGGUGGCACAGCGAAAGCGUUAAGUAUUCCACCUGGGGAGUACGCCGGCAACGGUGAAACUCAAAGGAAUUGACGGGGGCCCGCACAAGCGGAGGAACAUGUGGUUUAAUUCGAUGAUACGCGAGGAACCUUACCCGGGCUCAAACGACACAGGAACGUACCUGAAAGGGUUCGGCUCUACGGAGCCUGUGUCGAGGUGCUGCAUGGUUGUCGUCAGCUCGUGCCGUGAGGUGUCGGCUUAAGUGCCAUAACGAGCGCAACCCCCAUCGACAGUUGCUAACAGGUCAGGCUGAGGACUCUGUCGAGACUGCCGGCGCAAGCUGCGAGGAAGGCGGGGAUGACGUCAAAUCAGCACGGCCCUUACGUCCGGGGCGACACACGUGUUACAAUGGCAGGUACAGCGGGAAGCCACCUGGCGACAGGGAGCGGAACCCGAAAGCCUGUCUCAGUUCGGAUUGGAGUCUGCAACCCGACUCCAUGAAGCUGGAUUCGCUAGUAAUCGCGCAUCAGCCACGGCGCGGUGAAUACGUUCCCGGGCCUUGUACACACCGCCCGUCAAGCCAUGGAAGCCGGGGGUGCCUGAAGUGCGCUGCCGCGAGGAGCGCCCUAGGGUAAAACCGGUGACUGGGGCUAAGUCGUAACAAGGUA